UACGUAGGGACCAAGCGUUGUUCGGAUUUACUGGGCGUAAAGGGCGCGUAGGCGGCAUGACAAGUCACUUGUGAAAUCUCCGGGCUUAACUCGGAACGGUCAGGUGAUACUGAUCUGCUAGAGUGCGGAAGGGGCAAUCGGAAUUCUUGGUGUAGCGGUGAAAUGCGUAGAUAUCAAGAGGAACACCUGAGGUGAAGACGGGUUGCUGGGCCGACACUGACGCUGACAGCGCGAAAGCCAGGGGAGCAAACGGG
rnacentral:rRNA from 1 species